rnacentral:lncRNA from 10 species
CACUCAGCUUUCUGAAAUGGUGUCCCACCGCAAGGACUGGAGAAGGUAUUUUGCAGAAGGUAGAACUUGUGAACAAUGUGGCUGUUUAGCUGAAGCUAUUUUCAAGCAAAGUGUUGAAGGUAAACCUCAGGUUCUCCUCCUGCCUUUUGCUAAGUAUAUGUCUUGAUGACAAGCCUUCUGCUGAUGAGCUGUGUUUCUGGACCGAUCAUGGUAGAAGUCAAUUAACGUGUCCCUCACUUGGGGUUUCUCAAGGCUGCACUGAUGAGGAAACUGAAACAGAAAAUCCAGAGUAAAUUCCACCAGGCCACACAGCAAGGUCUGAUAGAGCCAGGAGAGACUUUAUGAAAUCCAGACUCUCACACUAAUGCUCUAUCAGCUAGACCUCCAUGUGAGUCUCCCCAAUGUAGGUAGGAAGUGCUUUCCCUAAAAUGCUCAUAAAGCAAAUCAGAGCAAUGCUGCAUUCCAUGUGAUUUCUAAUUUGAAAUGCAAACAAUUGCCAAUUUGUUUGACUUGUA